GAUGAACGCUGGCGGCGUGCCUAAUACAUGCAAGUCGAGCGAACGGACGAGAAGCUUGCUUCUCUGAUGUUAGCGGCGGACGGGUGAGUAACACGUGGAUAACCUACCUAUAAGACUGGGAUAACUUCGGGAAACCGGAGCUAAUACCGGAUGAUAUUUUGAACCGCAUGGUUCAAAAGUGAAAGACGGUCUUGCUGUCACUUAUAGAUGGAUCCGCGCUGCAUUAGCUAGUUGGUAAGGUAACGGCUUACCAAGGCAACGAUGCAUAGCCGACCUGAGAGGGUGAUCGGCCCCCCUGGAACUGAGACACCGUCCCGACUCCUACGGGAGGCAGCAGUAGGGAAUCUUCCCCCAUGGGCGAAAGCCUGACGGAGCCACGCCGCGUGAGUGAUGAAGGUCUUCCGAUCGUAAAACUCUGUUAUUAGGGAAGAACCUAUGUGUAAGUAACUGUGCCCCUCUUGACGGUACCUAAUCCGAAAGCCACGGCUAACUUCCUG
rnacentral:rRNA from 1 species